rnacentral:tRNA from 2 species
GGGCCUGUAGCUCAGACAGGUAGAGCACUCGGCUCUUAACCGAAUGGUCAGGGGUUCAAAUCCCCUCAGGCCCG